AUUAGUCACCGUGAGGAAGCCAAAUUGGAUCCGGGAGUCUUUUUCUAAAGGCCAGUACUGGCCACAUUUUCUCCUGCCGCCUUCCUCAAAGCUGAAGACAUAGAGAGCAAGUUAAGCCUUCACUCUUCAACCAGCUGUAGAGAUGUGAAUGAACAGAAUAGCAGUCAGAAGAAGAAGGAAAUGAAGGGCUAAGGGAACUGGCAAUUCAGCAGCCAGGAAGGCACCCUUCCUCUUCAGACAAGAGGCAGCUUAAAGGGAGGUCCUCAAACACACUGUACCAUCUCCGUAUGG
rnacentral:sRNA from 1 species